AAGUGAGAAUGCCGGUGUGAGUAGCGAAAGACGGGUGAGAAUCCCGUCCACCGAUUGACUAAGGUUUCCAGAGGAAGGCUCGUCCGCUCUGGGUUAGUCGGGUCCUAAGCUGAGGCCGACAGGCGUAGGCGAUGGAUAACAGGUUGAUAUUCCUGUACCACCUAUAAUCGUUUUAAUCGAUGGGGGGACGCAGUAGGAUAGGCGAAGCGUGCGAUUGGAUUGCACGUCUAA
rnacentral:rRNA from 2 species